UAGGGAAUCUUCGGCAAUGGACGAAAGUCUGACCGAGCAACGCCGCGUGAGUGAAGAAGGUUUUCGGAUCGUAAAACUCUGUUGUUAGAGAAGAACAAGGACGUUAGUAACUGAACGUCCCCUGACGGUAUCUAACCAGAAAGCCACGGCUAACUACGUGCCAGCAGCCGCGGUAAUACGUAGGUGGCAAGCGUUGUCCGGAUUUAUUGGGCGUAAAGCGAGCGCAGGCGGUUUCUUAAGUCUGAUGUGAAAGCCCCCGGCUCAACCGGGGAGGGUCAUUGGAAACUGGGGGACUUGAGUGCAGAAGAGGAGAGUGGAAUUCCAUGUGUAGCGGUGAAAUGCGUAGAUAUAUGGAGGAACACCAGUGGCGAAGGCGGCUCUCUGGACGAAGGCUGACGCUCAGGUGCGAAAGCGUGGGGAGCAAACAGG
rnacentral:rRNA from 1 species